UUGAAGAGUUUGAUCAUGGCUCAGAUUGAACGCUGGCGGCAGGCCUAACACAUGCAAGUCGAACGGUAGCACAGAGAGCUUGCUCUCGGGUGACGAGUGGCGGACGGGUGAGUAAUGUCUGGGAAACUGCCUGAUGGAGGGGGAUAACUACUGGAAACGGUAGCUAAUACCGCAUAACGUCGCAAGACCAAAGAGGGGGACCUUCGGGCCUCUUGCCAUCAGAUGUGCCCAGAUGGGAUUAGCUAGUAGGUGGGGUAACGGCUCACCUAGGCGACGAUCCCUAGCUGGUCUGAGAGGAUGACCAGCCACACUGGAACUGAGACACGGUCCAGACUCCUACGGGAGGCAGCAGUGGGGAAUAUUGCACAAUGGGCGCAAGCCUGAUGCAGCCAUGCCGCGUGUAUGAAGAAGGCCUUCGGGUUGUAAAGUACUUUCAGCGGGGAGGAAGGUGUUGUGGUUAAUAACCACAGCAAUUGACGUUACCCGCAGAAGAAGCACCGGCUAACUCCGUGCCAGCAGCCGCGGUAAUACGGAGGGUGCAAGCGUUAAUCGGAAUUACUGGGCGUAAAGCGCACGCAGGCGGUCUGUCAAGUCGGAUGUGAAAUCCCCGGGCUCAACCUGGGAACUGCAUUCGAAACUGGCAGGCUAGAGUCUUGUAGAGGGGGGUAGAAUUCCAGGUGUAGCGGUGAAAUGCGUAGAGAUCUGGAGGAAUACCGGUGGCGAAGGCGGCCCCCUGGACAAAGACUGACGCUCAGGUGCGAAAGCGUGGGGAGCAAACAGGAUUAGAUACCCUGGUAGUCCACGCCGUAAACGAUGUCGACUUGGAGGUUGUGCCCUUGAGGCGUGGCUUCCGGAGCUAACGCGUUAAGUCGACCGCCUGGGGAGUACGGCCGCAAGGUUAAAACUCAAAUGAAUUGACGGGGGCCCGCACAAGCGGUGGAGCAUGUGGUUUAAUUCGAUGCAACGCGAAGAACCUUACCUACUCUUGACAUCCAGAGAACUUUCCAGAGAUGGAUUGGUGCCUUCGGGAACUCUGAGACAGGUGCUGCAUGGCUGUCGUCAGCUCGUGUUGUGAAAUGUUGGGUUAAGUCCCGCAACGAGCGCAACCCUUAUCCUUUGUUGCCAGCGGUCCGGCCGGGAACUCAAAGGAGACUGCCAGUGAUAAACUGGAGGAAGGUGGGGAUGACGUCAAGUCAUCAUGGCCCUUACGAGUAGGGCUACACACGUGCUACAAUGGCGCAUACAAAGAGAAGCGACCUCGCGAGAGCAAGCGGACCUCAUAAAGUGCGUCGUAGUCCGGAUUGGAGUCUGCAACUCGACUCCAUGAAGUCGGAAUCGCUAGUAAUCGUAGAUCAGAAUGCUACGGUGAAUACGUUCCCGGGCCUUGUACACACCGCCCGUCACACCAUGGGAGUGGGUUGCAAAAGAAGUAGGUAGCUUAACCUUCGGGAGGGCGCUUACCACUUUGUGAUUCAUGACUGGGGUGAAGUCGUAACAAGGUAACCGUAGGGGAACCUGCGGUUGGAUCACCUCCUU
rnacentral:rRNA from 2 species